AUUGAACGCUGGCGGCAUGCUUUACACAUGCAAGUCGAACGGUAACAGGCCGCAAGGUGCUGUCGAGUGGCGAACGGGUGCGUAAUGCUUCGGCACGUGCCCCGUCGUGGGGGAUAAGUACUCGCUAGAGUAGCUAAUACCGCAUACGAUCUAUGGUUGAAAGCGGGGGACCGCAAGGCCUCGCGCGAUUGGAGCGGCCGCUGUUAGAUUAGGUAGUUGGUGGGGUAAAGGCUCACCAAGCCAACGAUCUGUAGCUGGUCUGAGAGGACGACCGGCCACACUGGAACUGAGACACGGCCCAGACUCCUACGGGAGGCAGCAGUGGGGAAUUUUGGGCAAUGGGCGCAAGCCUGAUCCAGCAAUGCCGCGUGCAUGAAGAAGGCCUUCGGGUUGUAAAAUUCUUUUGUACGGAACGAAACGGCUCUGGUUAAUACCCGGAGCUAAUGACGGUACCUUAAGAAUAAGCACCGGCUAACUACGUG
rnacentral:rRNA from 1 species